CCUACGGGUGGCAGCAGUGAGGAAUAUUUCUCAAUGGACGGAAGUCUGAACCAGCCAUGCCGCGUGCAGGAAGACGGCUCUAUGAGUUGUAAACUGUUUUUGUACAAGGGUAAACCUGAAUACGUGUAUUCAGCUGAAAGUACUGUACGAAUAAGGAUCGGCUAACUCCGUGCCAGCAGCCGCGGUAAUAUGGAGGAUCCAAGCGUUAUCCGGAUUUAUGGGGUUUAAAGGGUGCGUAGGCGGAUUGAUAAGUGAGAGGUGAAAUGUCCGGGCUUAACUCGGGAACUGCCUCUAAUACUGUUGAGCUAGAGAGUAGUUGCGGUAGGCGGAAUGUAUGGUGUAGCGGUGAAAUGCUUAGAGAUCAGACAGAACACCGAUUGCGAAGGCAGCUUACCAAUCUAUAUCUGACGUUGAGGCACGAAAGCGUGGGGAGCAAACAGGAUUAGAUACCCUUGUAGUC
rnacentral:rRNA from 1 species